rnacentral:rRNA from 1 species
ACGAACGCUGGCGGCGUGCUUAACACAUGCAAGUCGAACGGAAAGGCCCUGCUUGCAGGGUACUCGAGUGGCGAACGGGUGAGUAACACGUGGGUGAUCUGCCCUGCACUUCGGGGUAAGCCUGGGAAACUGGGUCUAAUACCGGAUAGGAGCCAUUUUUAGUGUGAUGGUUGGAAAGUUUUUUCGGUGUAGGAUGAGCUCGCGGCCUAUCAGCUUGUUGGUGGGGUAAUGGCCUACCAAGGCGGCGACGGGUAGCCGGCCUGAGAGGGUGGACGGCCACAUUGGGACUGAGAUACGGCCCAGACUCCUACGGGAGGCAGCAGUGGGGAAUAUUGCACAAUGGGCGCAAGCCUGAUGCAGCGACGCCGCGUGGGGGAUGACGGCCUUCGGGUUGUAAACUCCUUUCGCUAGGGACGAAGCUUUUUGUGACGGUACCUAGAUAAGAAGCACCGGCUAACUACGUG